rnacentral:lncRNA from 1 species
AAGAAAAGAUACAGAAUUUCUAAAUACCUAUAAUCCGAAUUAUGAUCUCCGGAAAGCAUAAAGCCGAGGAUAUAUAUUCAACUAACAAUGCUCAAUUCAAUAUUUUAUGUCCUCCUUCUACUAAUUAAAAUGUAAUUAACUUUGCUGAAACUAAUAUAGUGAAUGAAGAAAUAGAGAUCUCUAUUUCCGGAAGGUAGUUAUCUGGAUCCCAAGGCAAAGCGAAAAUAUGGGAGUUCGAGCAAGAAAAUUUUGAAAAAUAUUCAUUCAAAGAACAAUAAAAUAUGAAUGAAUUCAAUUCACCGCUAGGAAUCAUCACCUUUAAAUAUUUUAUUUAUUUGUAAGUGGACGGGGUAAAUCUUAUUGUAUUAGACACAUAUAUUCAGGCUAUUAUUGGUAGAUUCUCUGGUUAUGUUAUAAUAGAGUAGAUUGAGACUGUACUAAACCUUGAUUGAGAAAUUUUGAGAAAAUAAGAGAAGCAUAACACGAGUAUUUUUAUUUUUAUACCCUACUGCUGACUUAAUGAAGUUCGUUUUAAUUUUGUUGGAGGCAUUUUGUUUAC